rnacentral:rRNA from 1 species
UCGAGCGAGUCUGCCUUGAAGAUCGGAGUGCUUGCACUCUGUGAAACAAGAUACAGGCUAGCGGCGGACGGGUGAGUAACACGUGGGUAACCUGCCCAAGAGAUCGGGAUAACACCUGGAAACAGAUGCUAAUACCGGAUAACAACAGAUGAUGCCUAUCAACUGUUUAAAAGAUGGUUCUGCUAUCACUCUUGGAUGGACCUGCGGUGCAUUAGCUAGUUGGUAGGGUAACGGCCUACCAAGGCGAUGAUGCAUAGCCGAGUUGAGAGACUGAUCGGCCACAUUGGGACUGAGACACGGCCCUAACUCCUACGGGAGGCAGCAGUAGGGAAUCUUCCACAAUGGACGCAAGUCUGAUGGAGCAACGCCGCGUGAGUGAAGAAGGGUUUCGGCUCGUAAAGCUCUGUUGUUGGUGAAGAAGGACAGGGGUAGUAACUGACCUUUGUUUGACGGUAAUCAAUUAGAAAGUCACGGCUAACUACGUGCCAGCAGCCGCGGUAAUACGUAGGUGGCAAGCGUUGUCCGGAUUUAUUGGGCGUAAAGCGAGUGCAGGCGGCUCGAUAAGACUGAUGUGAAAGCCUUCGGCUCAACCGGAGAAUUGCAUCAGAAACUGUCGAGCUUGAGUACAGAAGAGGAGAGUGGAACUCCAUGUGUAGCGGUGAAAUGCGUAGAUAUAUGGAAGAACACCGGUGGCGAAGGCGGCUCUCUGGUCUGUUACUGACGCUGAGGCUCGAAAGCAUGGGUAGCGAACAGGAUUAGAUACCCUGGUAGUCCAUGCCGUAAACGAUGAGUGCUAAGUGUUGGGAGGUUUCCGCCUCUCAGUGCUGCAGCUAACGCAUU